CCUACGGGAGGCUGCAGUGAGGAAUAUUGGUCAAUGGACGGGAGUCUGAACCAGCCAUGCAGCGUGAAGGACGACUGCCCUACGAGUUGUAAACUGCUUUUGUAUUGGGGUAAAAUGCUCUACGAGUUGGGUUUUGAAUGUACGAUACGAAAAAGGAUCGGCUAACUCCGUGCCAGCAGCCGCGGUAAUACGGAGGAUGCGAGCGUUAUCCGGAUUUAUUGGGUUUAAGGGGAGGGCAGGCGGCUUGUUAAGUCAGUGGUAAAAGUCCGGGGCUCAACCCUGGCGAGCCGUUGAAACUGGCAGGCUGGAGUUGGAGAGAAGUACGCGGAAUGCGCGGUGUAGCGGUGAAAUGCUUAGAUAUCGCGCAGAACCCCGAUUGCGAAGGCAGCGUACCGGCUCCACACUGACACUGAGGCACGAAAGUGUGGGUAUCGAACAGGAUUAGAUACCCGUGUAGUC
rnacentral:rRNA from 1 species